rnacentral:lncRNA from 1 species
UCAUCAGAAGUCAGGGAACUUAUCAGCGAGGCAUUUAUUGAGCAUCUACUGUGUUCCUAAGAUGAUGCUAAAGUGCUGAGACAGGAGUUCCUGCUGUGGCUUAAUGGGAUCGGCAGCAUCUCAGAGGCGUGGGGAGGUAUGUUCGAUCCCCAACCUGGCACAGUGGGUUGAUGCCAUGGCUGUGGCAUAGGUCGCAACUGCAGUUCGAAUCUGACCCCUGGCCUGGAAGCUCCAAAUGUUGAGGGGCAGCCACAAAAACAAAAAGAAGAAAAGGGAGUGGCCCAAGGAAGGGCUCCCUCAGUCUGCCUGGCAGGCUUCAUGGAGGAGGUGACCUUGGAGUGGACUUGAGCAGUGAGUGAUAAGCCUGGUGCAUAUAAGCAAGAGGAGACUGAUGUACUUUGGGCAAAGGCUUAGAGUCCUGGGGAUACAGGAGUUUAGGCUUUAAUACAGCAGCCCUGGGGACCCAUCAAAAAUUCUUGAGCAGGGGAGGGCCAUAAUCAGAUUUAUGUUUUACGUAUACAGGAAGGAUAGAGGCAGGAGGGGUAACGAAGAGAGCCUUGAUCAGAUGUGCGGGAGAGGUGAGCACCUAGGGUAAUUCCCCACGUGUCCCCUUUGUGGGUGAUGGAGUCUCACCAGGGUGAGCCUGUGGACGGGGAGCGGGGGAGGGGUGGUUCUUAGAGGGCGUCCAGGUGACAUCUGAGAGGACAGAAGGACAUCCGGGGAUGGAGCCUGGGACAUAGCGCUGGGCAGGAGGACACGACUAUCAGCAGCAUGUUUGGAGCUGUGGGAGUUCAUGACACUGAUAGGAACAGCUGGCAGAGACUGUUGGCUCUCACGGAAGCCCGUGUGUCUCUUCUUCCAGCUUGUGUUUUUGGAAACAGGUAGACCCAGUUCUCAGCCUCCCUUGCAGUUGGGUGAGAACGUGGGACUGAGUGCUACCCAAUGGGAAGUAAGUGCAUGACCCAAAAAAACCUCCACAAGCCUGUUCUCAUCCUCUUUCCCUCUUGGCGGGCAGAAUGGAGACCUCGUGGGGCAAGCUGGGAAGACACGGGUUGCAGGUGGCGCCGUCCCAUCAGCCUGGGUGUCUGCAUGACUGUGGAAGAGGCCGCCCGUCACCCGCCAUCCCUGCCUGGGACUGUUGUGUGAGCGAGAGGGAAAUGACGAGGGUUGAACCACUCUCCGUUUUGGGGUCCACUGUAGCCAAAAUUCUAUUAUUUGGUAAAAGUAAUAGCAAGCGAGUAGUGAGACAACUUUGGAUGUGGUGAUAGCCAUAGAGAGGUAUCUGCUUUAAGCCUCAUAAUAACUCCAGGAAGAAGGUGCUCUUACUAACCCAUUUUACAAUUGAAGGGACAGGCCCAGAGAAGAGCUGUCCAAGGCCCAAGGUCACACAGGUAGUAAGUGGCAGAGGCAAGAUUCAAACCUAGAUUUACCUGAUUAAUACCUGGAAUCGAAAACAUUUUUACUUUGUUAGAUGUCCUUCCAGUAGAAAGGUCAUUCAGAUCCACUGCAAUGUCAAGCAUGACUGAAAUGACGGGAAAAAUCUUUAACCUUUGAACCCGAAACACCUCUGUCUCAACUGCAGCCAAAACCCAGACUGGGACUUGAACCCACGGUUUCUUUUAAUUAGAAUCACUCACCUAGUGUCUGGACUUACUGAGGCUCAGGUUCUUUGUGUCUCGGCACAGAAGGAAUUCGGUGAGAGGCAAGAAAUAGAUUUAUUAAGAAAGGAUGCUUGGGGAGUUCCUGUCGUGGCACAGCGGAAAUGAAUCCGACUAGGAACCGUGAGGUUGCAGGUUCGAUGCAUGGCCUCGCUCAGUGGGUUAAGGAUCCAGCUUUGCUGUGAGCCGUGGUGUAGGCCGGCGGCUACAGCUCUGAUUUGACCCCUAGCCUGGGAAC